ACGCUCGACACCUACGGAGGCAGCAGUGGGGAAUAUUGCACAAUGGGGGAAACCCUGAUGCAGCGACGCCGCGUGGAGGAAGAAGGUCUUCGGAUUGUAAACUCCUGUUGUUGGGGAAAAAGAGGAUGGUACCCAACAAGGAAGUGACGGCUAACUACGUGCCAGCAGCCGCGGUAAUCUGAGCGGGCUGCAAGGC
rnacentral:rRNA from 1 species